UACCAGCUCUCCGAGUGGUAGGGAUGAUUAUUGGGCUUAAAGCGUCCGUAGCCGGCUUAGCAAGUUUCCUGUUAAAUUCAGCGACCUAAUCGUUGAGCCGCGGGAAAUACUACUAGGCGAGGAGGCGGGAGAGGUCGACGGUACUUCUGGGGUAGGGGUGAAAUCCUAUAAUCCCGGGAGGACCACCAGUGGCGAAGGCUGUCGACUAGAACGCGCUCGACGGUGAGGGACGAAAGCUGGGGGAGCGAACCGGAUUAGAUACCCGGGUAGUCCCAGCUGUAAACGAUGCGGGCUAGGUGUUGGGGUGGCUACGUGCCACUUCAGUGCCGCAGGGAAGCCAUUAAGCCCGCCGCCUGGGGAGUACGGCCGCAAGGCUGAAACUUAAAGGAAUUGGCGGGGGAGCACCACAAGGCGUGAAGCUUGCGGUUC
rnacentral:rRNA from 1 species